GCAGUGGAUUGUGGAUCCACCAUGCGCGGGUUCAAU
rnacentral:tRNA from 1 species